rnacentral:misc_RNA from 1 species
AACACUGUUAACCUGCGGUACCUGCGGAAGGAUCAUUACACAAAUGAAAAUAUGAAGGCCCUUCAAACCGGCUGGAUUAUUUUUCUUCACCCUUGUCUUUUGCGCACUUGUUGUUUCCUGGGCGGGUUCGCUCGCCACCAGGACCACACCAUAAACCUUUUUGUUAAUGCAAUCAGCGUCAGUAAAAAGUAAUAAUUAUUUUACAACUUUCAACAAUGGAUCUCAGAUCGGAAGAGCACA